GUCCCUGUGCUGUGCUUCACCGCUCCACCGCCCGCGUCUCCACCAUCCCUGGUAUCUGUGAUACCACUGGGCCGUGGCAAGGCAGGGGUGCUGUGGCGUUCAGAAGGGUCCAUGAGAGGCAGGACAUCACAUCAUCGCGUGUCAUGGAUUGCUGCAACAUCUGAACAAGAAUAUCCGGCAGGUCUAUCAGUCAACACUACGGCAGACUAUGCCAUACUCGAGGAUCUGCCAGACUUUGCCAUCAAGGUGUGGGUAACUGCGGUGAUGUCCUCUGGAGAAACCCUGCCCAGCCCC